GGGGAGUGGAAUUCCAGGUGUAGCGGUGAAAUGCGUAGAUAUCUGGAGGAACAUCAGUGGCGAAGGCGACUCCCUGGCCAAAGACUGACGCUCAUGUGCGAAAGUGUGGGUAGCGAACAGGAUUAGAUACCCUGGUAGUCCACACCGUAAACGCUGUCUACUAGCUGUUUGUGGCUUUAAGCCGUGAGUAGCGAAGCUAACGCGAUAAGUA
rnacentral:rRNA from 1 species